GGAGGAGCUACAUCUCGCGCUCGCGUUCUGAGUAUUUCAGUUUCCCAAAUACGCUGUGUGUGUGUGUGUGUGUGCGCGCGUUGGCUCAAAGGAAGAGUUCCUCCAGAAAGACACGCAGCGAAUCUCAGAGCCAAAGGAGGAGCUGCUGUCUGUGACUUUGUCUCUUGUACCCGUCCUCAGAGUUUGAAGCUGAAGAAGAGUCCCUCCUACAGUCAGGACACAUAGUAACACUUUCAGAGCUCCUAAUCUGUCGGAGUUGAGAACCGUGGGACGCCGGGUAAUCAGGCCUGAGCUGCUCCUUCCAAACCAGCCAAACAUCUGGCUGCCUGCCGUUUGACCGCCUUGGCCACACACACACACACACACACGCACGCACGUUUGAUGCUAAAAGCGCUGCAGAGGAGCUCAGAAAUUACACUCAAUAAACACAGAAAUCAAAUAGAACAAUUUCCAAAUAUUAGCUUUGCCAUCUACUUUCCUGCAGUCUUAUAAAACGGCCUUUGUUGCUCACAGUAAAUAGGUUUCCCCUGCCCCCUGCCAAGUCAAACACAAAUGUCCGGUCGAUGGGAGCGUGGCUCGACUUUAAUUAAACUCGGU
ensembl:lncRNA